rnacentral:lncRNA from 1 species
CACGGAUCCAACAAGUUUUUGCACAAUGACUUCUUAUAUUUCAUCUUUUAUAGCAAGCUACACCAUAGAGAAAUUAAAUACAUUGGAUCAGAGACCAUUAUAGAGCAAGACAAAAGCAGGUUCUUCAUCAGCCAACCUGUACUGUCCCUGUUGCAUCUCCCUUCCCGUCCAACCAAAUCACAUCGAGAGAUGUCCCAUGCGCAAAUGAUAUAGUGAGUGAGUCAUGCUUGCUGCUGCACACGCGCAUGUAUGAGAAAGAGAACAACAUCAGUUGUUGCUUCACACGGGAGAGCUGGCGGCCGCUGCUUCGAUGACCUGAAUUAGCAUAGGUGCACUUUAGAUGUAGCAAAAUCUGAACUUAUUUAAAAUGGGAAAUUGAAAUUUAGCAUGCUGAUUGAUACAUCUUUUUAAUAAGUAGUUAUCUAAAUGGGAAAUGAGUUUCAAUCGUAUGCUAGAAGAUGCCCCAUGCAAAAACUAGAAAUAUGAGUGAGAUAGAAAGAAUUGUUUCAACAAGUUUGUUUAAGUACAAAUACAUGGUGGUAGCAGUAUUCAAUGCAAAUGGGAGCUUUGUACAAUACUCCAUUGCAAGCAUCAUAUAGCUUGGAUGUAUGAAACACAACCAUCACCAAUUCACCAUGUUACUGUUCUGGGCAUAGGCAAUAUAGUUGCACUGAGACGCUUAACCAGAUGAACUGAGACAACCAAUGGAGGGAGGAGUUCUUGUCUUAAUAUAGGCAGCUUUUUUUUACAAAAAUGGCUCGAACAUCUUUAAAGAAGACAACAAUGACCACUUUUUUAACUGCUUGAGUAAACAACCGCCAACUUACAGCAGAUCACUUGAACUUAUAGGAAAUAGAAAAAAGAACUAAGCUUGCAUCAUCAAAAUCUACAGUUUUUUUUCUGAAGUGAUAACAUAUGUAGAACUUAGGUCAAUUGGUGUGACGCAAACAGUUGAACUAGUGUAACAUAUGUAGUCGAACGGAUGUAACUAUUUGUAGUUGAACCAAUUGGAGACCUGGCAACGCAACAACAUUUUCAUUCUAUGGUGUCUCGCACAUGGUUUGCUAGAACAAGUUGAACUGAAUAUAUUUUUCGUUUUGAACUUUGAAAGAAGCUACAACUUCUGUUUCCCAAAUGUCUACAAAAUUUUAAGUUUCCAAGCACAUACCUUUUGUUUCCUUUUUGUUGAUGGGCACAACGUCCCUACUCCUGCAGACUGGCGGCACAGCGAAUUGGAGCUGAAGAAGAGGGGAUCACGAGCGGUGGCUGGGUGCACCAGGAUUUGGCUGUUGUAGGGGAUCCUAGCUACUACCAAGACAUCCCCGAGGAGCUAGUAGAGGGGGUCACCGGCCAUCUGGUGUAAUUUUGAACUACUAGGUGCACCGGUAUUUGGCUGCUUUAGAGGAACAAGAGGUCAGAACAAACAUGAAUUAUAUAGGUUACAGAUUUUGCCUUCUAUAAUGAUGUGCUUCCUGGGCAGUCCAAAAGCAGCAGCCGUACAAGUUCAGUAGCCGCUCAC